UAGACAGACCCUCGAGACCUUCCAAAAUCAACAAAGAAAAAACAGACUUAAUCUGCAUUAUAGAACAAAUGGACCUCAUAGACAUUUAUAGAACAUUUCAUACAAUGGUUGCAGAAUACAACAUCUUCUGAGCACAUGGAUCAUUCUCAAGGAUAGACCAUAUGUUACACUAUAAAACAAGCUUUUAAGUAUUCCAAAAAUUAGAAAUCAUAUCAAGUAUCUGCUCUGACAACAAUGGAAUAAAACUAGAAAGCAAUUACAAGAGGAACUUUAGAAACUAACCAAACACAUGGAGGGUAAACUAUAUGCUUCUAAAUGACCAGUGGGUCAAUGAAGACAUUAAGAAGGAAAUUUAAAAAUUUCUACAAAAUAAAUGAAAAUGGAAACACAAUAUAGUAAAACCUAUGAGACACAGCAAAAGCAGUAGUAAAAGGACAGUUUAUAGUAAUAAGCACCUACAUCAAAAAAGUUGAAAAACUUCAAAUAAACAACAAAAUCAUGCAUCUUAAAGAACUAGGCAAGCAAGAGUGAAGCAAACUCAAAAUGAGUAGAAAAAAAUGAAGAUUAGAGCAAAAGAAAUUAAAACAAAAAUAUAGAAAAGAUCAACAAAAUUAAAAGUUUGUUUUUUGAAAAUAUAAACAAAAUCAACAAACCUUCGCCAGACUAAGAAAAAAGAAGACCCAAAUACAUAAAAUGAAAGAUAAAAAAGAAACAUUGCAACUGAUACUGUGAAAAAAUCAAACAAUCAUUAGAGAUUACUAUGAGUAGCUAUAUGCUCAUAAAUCUAAAAACCUAAAAGAAAUGGAUUAAUAUCUAGACAAUACAAACUACCAAGAUUGAACCACAAAGAAAUCCAAAGCACGGGUAAAUCAAUAACAAGUAAUGAGACCAAAAUGAUAAUAUAAAUUCUCCUAGCAAAUGAAAGCCUGAGACCCAAUGGCUUCAUUGCUGAGUUUUACCAAACAUUUAAGAAGAAUUAAUACCCAUUCUAGUCAAACUAUUCCAAAAAACAAAAAAGAGGAUAUACCUCCCGACUUAUUCUAAGAAGCCAGUAUUACCCUGAUACCCAAACUAGAAAAAGACACAUCAAAAGAAAGAAAACUAUAGGCCAAUAGCUUUGAUUGACAGUCAUGUAAAAAUCCUCAACAAAAUACUAGCAAAUCAAAUUCAACAACACAUUGAAAAGAUCAUUCCUCAUGACCAAGUGGGAUUUAUCCCUACAAUGCAAGAAUGGUUCAACAUAGGGAAAUCAAUUGAUGUGAUACACCAUAUAAAUAGAAUGAAGAAAUAAAAUCAUGUGAUCCAUUCAAUUGAUGUUCAUAAGGUAUUUCAUAAAAUUCAACAUACCUUCAUGAUAAAAACCCUCCAAAAACUGGGUAUAGAAGGAACAUACCUCGACACAACAAACAGCAUACAUGAAAGACUCACAGCUAGUAUCAAACUGAAUGGGGAAAUCCUGGAAGCUUUACCUCUACUAUCUAGAACAUGACAAAGAUGUGGGUCAAAAACUAGGUGCCUGUGGGUGGUGGUGGGGUGAGAAGAAUGGUGGUGGCCCAAAUGCCAUGGGGACCCUUAGGGUUUGGAGGGCCCGAGAAGGUGGGUCUAUGGAUACAAAUACACCCACCUCUUUAGGCCAUGGAGCCUUGGGGAUCCAAGUCCUUGCAUGACUGCUUUGUCCCAAUUGGGCAAGACCUACAUAGUCCUGAUGACAAGGAACAAAGGAAUUAAUGGGCUAGGAAGGUGAGUGGACUCCCAGAUGAUCACAGGUAGAAUGGUUAGCGGGCGGUUGAGUGGUGGGUCUUCAUUCUACCAGACCUUUGUAUUGUAAGAGAAAAGUUGUAGAAUGGCAUACCACAUUUGGCCAGGUGGAAAUGCUCCACCACUCUUUGCGAAGAUUUACUGGCUGUUUAUAGAAGGCCUGUGUAUAUAAUAUGUAAAAGUUGUUCUCAACUUUCACCUAAACCUUUUAAAAGAAAACAUUUGCUACAUCUACCUUUCUAGGGGUAAAGAGGUUGCUGACGUAUGAUGAAGUAGAGUGAGAAAAUCACGCAUCUUGUAAAUUCCCAUUUUUUAAAAAGUCAUAGAAAAUAAAUGUCUUCUGAGAAUGAAUUUUUGAAAUGGCAUUGUUAGACUACUUCUGAAAGUGACACCAGAAGUGACACAUUGACAUUUGUUCAGUGGACAUGGAGCAGAAGACUUAAGGAGGAAGAGAAGGUGGUUCUAUGCCAGACUGGUCAUAUUUAGAAGUCAUUUUUAUAUCAUAACCAUUGUUUUUUGUGUGCAUUUUAUUCCUCACUACUGUAUAUAUGAUUGACAAUGCUAAAUACUUUUUUGAAUUAUCUAUUUUUUCUAGAUAUCCUGAAGUGCCUUAUAUGUGUUAAAAUUAGAGGUAGUAAAAUAACAUAUUUUCCAAUUACAUUUUUGUUAAAAUUUACAUGAAAUGUUGCUUUGUGGAGGAAAUGACCAAACCACUUUUUGAGUAAUACAUAUUAGGUUUGUGCACUAGUUCAGGGGAAGAGGAAGGAGGAGGAAGUGUACAGAGCUUCAUGCCAGUGUGCUUACAGUAAGGUAAACAUGGUAAACCCUGUCUCUACUAAAGAUAAAAAAAUUAGCCAGGUGUGGUGGUGGGUGCCUGUAAUCCCAGUUACUCAGGAGGCUGAGGCAGGAGAAUCACUUGAACCUGGGAGGCGGAGGUUGCACUGAACCAAGUUUGCACCACUGAACUCCAGCCUGGGCAACAGAGUGAGACUUGGUCGCAAAAAAAAAAAAAAAAAAAAAAAAAAAAUUAACCAUUGUCCCUAUGUCUGUGCGUUUUGUUUUACUUAUUUGAGUAAAUAGUAUAUAUCAAGAAAAAUCAAGUCCCAAUUUACAACAUUUUGUUUUUCCAGAUGUUAAAGAGGUUGCCAGUGUAAGACAAAAGUAGAUUAGUAAACUAAAAUAUUUUGUAUAUUUUGAUUUAAAAUUCCUAGGGAAAAAAAUGUCUUCUGAAAAUUUAAGCACUACUACCCACUGGGUUGAUGAAAAUGGUAGGGUUUAUAGGCUAGAAUGUUCAUAUUUGUCAGACUCUUUCAAAUUAUAACUAUUGUUGCAUGUGUGCAGCUUAUUCAAGAAUGUUGGGUAUAUAGUCGACAAGUUAACACCCUACCUGAAACAUUUAGUCUGUCUAGAUAUUUAGAAGUGCCUGACAUAUAUUAAAUGUAGAGGUAGUAAAAUAUCACUUUGUAAAUAUAUUUUUGUUAGAAUUCAUAGUAAGUAUUGUCUUUUGGAAUUGAAAUUGUUAAACUGCCUCUGUGAGCAGUAUAGUACCAUCUAUACUUGUUUAGAACAAACUGCAAAAGGUAACAUACAGGCGUGUUCAUAUUUAGAUAUUUUCAGACACCAUUUUCCAGUAUGUUUUGUGCAUUUUGUUUUGCUCAUGCUUAUAGUAUAUAUAACUGAUGAAUGAGUCCUAAACUUGCAAUAUCUAGUCUCUAGAUGUUAAGGAGUUUGCCACUGUAUGACAAAGGACUUAGUAAAAUCAGCACAUUUUGUGCAUUUUGUGUUGAAAUUCAUAGGAGAGCUUGUCCUCCGUAAGUGACUUUUGGAUAUGAAUUUGUUCAACAACCCCUAAGCUUGUACUUGUCCACUGGAAUGAAGACAGAAAGAAGUGAAGAGGGAAUGGCUCAAGGCCAAAAUGGUCAUAUUUAGAAGACACCUCAGAUUAUAACCAUUGUUCAAUGCGUGUAGUUUUACAGUGCUGUGUACAUAGUGGACAAGUCAAUGUGAAAUAUCUAUCCAUUUUAGAUAUUUAGAAGUGCUUGUUGUAUUUAAAUUAGAAGUAGUAAGAUAACACUUUUUGUAAACAGCUUUUAAAGACUGAUGGGAAAUAUUCUGUUUGAAAGUGGAAUUGUUAAACCAACCGUGUGAACAGUGUAUAUUCUCUGUACUUGUUCACUGCCUUGAGGGAGGUGGGAGGAAAUAUAUUCGAAAGUGUGUUUUGCUGGAGUGUACUAGAAAAUUUAAGUUUAUCCAUCACCCUGUAUGUUAUGUUCAUUUCAUCUAUUUUUGGUAUACCAUAUAUAUUGUGUAUAUACUGAACAAAUGAUUCCUAAUUUUAUAAUAUCUACUCUGUAGAUAUUAAAGAGGUUGCCAAUAAAUGAGGAAAGUAGAGUUGGUAAACUAACACAUUUUGUACACUUUGCCUUAAAAUUCAUAGAAAGGCUGUAUUCUGAAAAGAAAUUGUGGAAGUUGAAAUGAUAACAUCAACUCUAAGUGACACAGGUGCCUGUAUCCACUGGGUUGGUUGUGAAGAAAAGUUGGAAGAAAUUAAUGAAUCUAUACUAGAAUGUUUCUGUUUAGAAGACACCCGAUGUAACCAGUGUUAUAAGUGUGUCAUUUAUUCAAAACCACUCUGUAUAUAGUGGACAAACUUAAGUCUUUAUUUGAAACAUCUAGUCUUUUUUUUUUUAAUUUUACUUUACAUUCUGGGAUAUAUGUGCAGAACAUGCAGGUUUGCUACAUAAGUAUACAUGUGCCAUGGUGGUUUGCUGCACCUAUCAACCCAUCAUCUAGGUUUUAAGCCCUGCAUGCAUUAGGUAUUUGUUCUAAGGCUCUACCUUCCCUUGCCCUCCACUCCCCAAAAGGCCCCAGCGUGUAAUGUUCCCCUCCCUGCGUCCAUGUGUUCUCAUUAUUCAACUCCCACUUAUGAGUGAGAAUAUGUGGUGUCUGGUUUUCUGUUCCUGUGUUAGUUUGCUGAGAAUGAUGGCUUCCAGCUUCAUCCAUGUUCCUGAAAAGGAUAUGAACUCAUUCUUUUUUAUGGCUGCAUAGUAUUCCAUAUUUGGGUUGGUCCCAAGUCUUUGCUAUUGUAAAUAGUGAUGUAAUAAAUGUACAUGUGCAUGUGUCUUUAUAGUAGGAUAAUUUAUAAUCCUUUGGGUAUAUACCCAGUAAUGGGAUUGCUGGGUCAAAUGGUAUUUCUGGGUUCUAGAUCCUUCAGGAAUCACACUGUCUUCCACAAUGGUUGAACUAAUUUACACUCCCACCAACAGUGUAAAGGCAUGCCUAUUUCUCCACAUCCUCUUCAGCAUCUGUUGUUUCCAGACUUUUUAAUAAUGGCCAUUCCAACUCGUGUGAGAUGGUAUCUCACUGUGGUUUUGAUUUGCAUUUCUCUAUGACUAAUGAUGAUGAACUUUUUUUCGUAUGUUUCUUGGCCACAUAAAUGUCUUCUUUUGAGAAGUGUCUGUUCAUAUCCUUCGCCCACUUUUUAAUGUGUUUUUUUUUUCUUGUAAAUUUGUUUAAGUUCCUGUAGACUCUGGAUAUUAGACCUGUGUCCGAUGUGUAGAUUGCAACAAUUUUCUCCCAUUCUGUAGGUUUUCUGUUCACUCCGAUGUUCACUUUAGUCUUUCUAGAUGUUUAGAAGUGCACAAAAUAUGUUAAGAUUAGAGUCAGUAAAGAACACGUUGUGUAGAUAUCAUUUUGAUUCAUAUGAAAUAUUGUCUUUUGAAAAUUGAUGAAACCAUUUCUCAGAGCAGUACACAUUAUUAUGUUUGUGCUGUUCCUGGGAAGAAGAAGAAAGUGUGAAGAGCUUUAUACUAGUGUUUUCAUGAUGAGGCACAAUCGACCAUUGUCCCUUAUGUCUGCAUUUGUUUUACUGUGCUGUGUGUAUAGUAUAUAUAAAUAGACAAAUGAGUCCUAAUUUGCAACAUACAAAUAAUAAAGAGGUUGCUAGUGUAUGACAAAAGUAGAGUAAGUAAAUUAAUACAUCUAGUGCACUUUGUGUUAAAAUUUAUAGAAAAGACUGUUCUUAAAAGCACUUGCAUAAGUGAAAUUGUUAAAAAUCCCCUCUAAGCAUUACAGAUGGUUGUUCCUGUCCAUUGGGUAGAUAGAGGUGGGAAGGGAAAAGAGUCUAGGCCAGGAUGUUCCUAUUUAGAAGACAUUUUCAAAUUAUAGCCUGUGUUAUAUAUGUGCAACAUUUAUUCCACUAAAUAGUGCUACUCUGUAUUUAGUGGAAAACUGAAGUCCUUUUGGAAACAUACAGCCUUUCUAGAUAUUUAACAUAGGUUAAAGUGGAGGGCUAAAAUAACACCUUUUAUGCAUUUUUUAAUUUCCUAGGAGUGGUUGCAUUUGGAAAUGAAAUUGUUAAAUUCGAUGCUUUGAAGAGUAAGCUAGCUGUUCAUUAGGUAGUGGUGGGUGGAGGGAGGAGGAAGUAUGCAAGGAGAAGGAUUCUGUGACUGUGAGUUAGAUUAAUUAAAGUGGUUUAACCAUUUUUCUAUAUGUGCAUUUUAGUUAAUAUUGUUGUGUUUUAAAAGAUAAUUCCCAAUGCUCAAAGUAUGUUAAAAGUAGAGGUAGUAAAAAAAAAUCCACUUACAAAUGUCCUUUUGUUAGUUUUUAGAAAGACCUGUCUUCUGGGAGUAAACUUCGUUAGCCCACCACUUGGAGUUAGACAUAGUCCUAUACUUAGCCACUGGGAUGGUGGAACAGGGAGAAGAUCAAGGGUGAAGGAAAAGGCUCUUUUGUAGUAACUCUAUAUCUAAAGAUGGUUUUAGAUGAUAACCAUAGGUCUACAUUAGCAUUUUUAGCAAAGUUCCUCUGUUUAUUGUGGACGAAGUACAUUAUUGCAACAUGUAAGCUUUCUGAAAGUCCUGUGUGACAAUGUAUGACAAAAAGUAGAGCUAGUGAAUUAGCCAAUUUGUAAAUAACUUUUUGUUAUAUUUAAUAGAAAAUAUGCAUCUUGGACACAGAAUUGUUAAAUUCCCUCUGAGAAGUGUGUAUAAGGAUUUGUUUAUUAGAUUGACAACAAAGGGACAAAAGUAAGUAUAAAGGGAAAGAAAUAUGCAGAUGUGUUCAUAUUAACAUUUUGCUGAUAUCCAUUGAUAUAUGUUAAUCUCUUUUGGCUGUACUAUAAAAAUACAUUAAGUAAUUCAAUGGAAACAUAUCUUUCUGAUAAUGUUUUAGUGAAUUAAUUAGCUCUGCUAAUGAAUUAUCUUAGAAACAUCAUAUUUAGUGUAUUAUGUUGUUUUAUGUUUUAUCUUAAAUUGGGCAUUAAGAUAGUGUAGUAUUUUAAUCAGAACUCUGCCAAUGUUUUUAUCUAGAGGCAUGUUGCCAUUUUUGCCUUCUAUAAAAUUUUUGUUUCAAGAAAAGCAGGAUAACAUCUUUUUUCUAACAUAUUGACUUGGUGUAGUGUAUUCUUGGUUAUCAAAAUUCUCAUAUAGCUUUGGAAGUUUUUUUUUUUUUCAAGACAGGGUCUCACUCUGUCACUCAGGCUGAAGUGCAGUGAUGCAAUCUUGGCUCAGUGCAGUGAAACCUCCACCCCCCAGGUUCAAGCAAUUCUCCUUCCUCAGCCUCCUGAGUAGCUGGGAUUACAGGCAUGCACCACCAUGCCCAGCUAAUUUUUGUAGUUUUAGUAGAGACGGAAUUUCCCCAUGCUGACCAGGCUGGUCUCGACCUCCUGACCUCAAGUGAUCCACCUACCUUGGCCUCCCAAAUUGCUGGGAUUACAGGCGUGAGCCACUGCACUUGGUCUGGAAUUUUGAACUGGUAAAUAUUCAUGAUAUGUGAAAAAGCAUGGCACACACUAUACAACCUCAAUCCCAUAAAAUUGAAUGUUUUAUCUAUAUAUACACAGGACCUAGAAAGACAUGGCAAACCGUAAACUGCUGGUAAUUGUGGAUAACUUUAUUCUUUGCUUCUGGUGUUUUUUAGUUUCUUAUAAUGCACAUAUUAACUUUUUAAAAAUAAAGGCUAUUUUGAAAAUCUGAAAAAAAAAUCAGUACUGUUUAACUGCACAUACUACCUAAAACAGUCUAUGGAUUCAAUGACAUCCCCAUGAAAAUAUCAAUGACAUUCUUCACAGAAAUAGAGAAAACAAUCCCAAAAUUUAUAUGGAAUCACAAAAUACUCAGAAUAACCAAAACUAUCCUGGGCAAAAAGACAAAACUGAAAGAAUCAUAUUACCUGACUUGAAAUUAUACUCUAGAGCUACAGUAACUAAACCAGCAUGGUACUAGCAUAAAAACAGACACGAACUAAUGAAACAAAAUAGAGAAACCAGAAAUAAAUUUAUACAUCUACAGUGAACUCAUUUUCAACAAAGGUGCCAAGAACAUAUUAUACAUUGGGAAAAGGCAGUCUCCAAUAAAUUGUCCUGGGAAAACUGAUAUUCAUUUGUAGAAGAAUGAAUCUAAAACCCUAUAUUUCAUCUUUUGCAAAAAUCGAAUCAAAAUUGGUUAAAGACUUAAAUCUAAGACCUCAAAAUGUGAAGCUACUAAAAAAAAUUGAGGAAACUCUCCAGGUUAUUAAACUGGGCAAAGAUUUCUUAAGUAAUAUUCUACAAGCACAAGCAAGAGAGGAAACAAUGAACAAAUGGCAUCAUAUCAAUUAAAAAGCUUCUGCCCAGAAAAGGAAACAAUCAACAAAGUGAGGAGACAACCCCCAGAAUGGGAGAAAAUAUUUGCGAACUAUCCUUCUGACAAGAGACUAAUAACUAGAAUAUAUGACAUGCUCAAACAACUCUAUAGGAGAAAACCUAAACCUAAUAAUCUGAUUAAAAAAUGGGCAAAAGAUUUGGAUAGAUAUUUCUCAGAAAAAGACAUACAAAUGGCAAACAAAUACAUGACCAGGUGCUCAACAUCAUUGAUCGUCGGAGAAAUGUAAAUAACAGCUACAAAGAGGUAUCAUCUCACCCCAGUUAAAAUGGCUUUUAUCCAAAGCACAGGAAAUCACUAUGAAGAACAGUUUGGAGGUUCCUCAAAAAUACUAAAACUACAGCUACCAUGUGAUUCAGCAAUUCCACUGUUAGGUAUAUAACAACAACUACAAAAAAGAAAUCAGUAUAACAAGACAGUAUCGGCACUCCUAUGUUUGUUGCAGCACUGUUCACAAUAGCCAAGAUUUGGAAUCAACCUGUGUUCAUCAGCACAGAAACAGAUAAAGAAAAUAUGGUAUAUAUACACAAUGGAGAAUGGAGUAUAUAUACACAAUGGAGUAAUAUGCAAAUGAGAUUCUGUCAUUUGCAACAACAUGGAUAGGACUGAAGAUCAUUAUGUUACGUGAAAUAAGGCAGGCACAGAAAGACAAACAUUACAUGUUCUCACUUAUUUGUAGGAGCUAAAAAUUAAAAUAAUUGAACUAAUGGAGAUAGAGAGUGGAAAGAUGUUUACCAGAGGCUGGAAAGGGUAGUGAGAGGUUGGGUGUGGUGGCUGGAGUGGGGCUGAUUAAUGUGCACAGAAUUAGUUAGAAAGAAUAAGAUCCAGCAUUUUAUAUCACAAUAGGGUGACUACAGUCAAUAAUAACGUACUCAUACACUUCAAAAUGACUAAAAGUUUAUAAUUGGAUUGUUUUUUACACAAGAAUAAAUGCUUGAGGUGAUGGAUACCCC
rnacentral:lncRNA from 1 species